rnacentral:rRNA from 1 species
UUCCUUUGGUUGUAGUUGUAAGGUAAGGUCUGCCCACUGUGUAGAUGAAGGGCCGCGGUAUUUUGACCGUGCUAAGGUAGCAUAAUCAUUAGUCUCUUAAUUAGGGAAUAGAAUGAAUGAUUUAAUUGGGGGCUGCUUUAUUAGUUUUAGUGGUUUGAAUUUUGAGUUUAAGUGAAAAUACUUAAAGGGUCCUAAUAGACGAUAAGACCCUAUAGAUCUUUAUUUCGUUUACGUUUCAGUGAUAUGGGGGUGUUACGGAAGUGUGAGCGGAGUUUUAUUGGGGAAAUAGAAGAAUAAGCAAAAUUUCUUUAUGAAUGUGGAGAGGAGUCUGUUAAAUGAUCUAGAAUUUUAAAUAUCUAAAAAGAUACCUUAGGGAUAACAGCGUUAUUAGUAUAGAGAGUUCUUAUUAAUAUACUUGUUUGCGACCUCGAUGUUGAAUUAAGAUACUUUAGUGGAGCAGCGUUUAUUGGAGGGGGUUUGUUCAACCUUUAAAUUCUUACA